GACGAACCGUGCGAACGUUGUUCGGAAUCACUGGGCUUAAAGGGCGCGUAGGCGGGCGCGCAAGUCGGAGGUGAAAUCCCACGGCUCAACCGUGGAAUAGCCCCCGAUACUGCUGUGGCUAGAGUCCAGUAGGGGAGUGUGGAAUUCCCGGUGUAGCGGUGAAAUGCGCAGAUAUCGGGAGGAACACCAGCGGCGAAGGCGGCACUCUGGGCUGGUACUGACGCUGAGGAGCGAAAGCGUGGGUAGCAAACAGG
rnacentral:rRNA from 1 species